ACGCACGCUGGCGGCAUGCCUCACACAUGCCAGUCGCACGAGACCUUCGGGUCUAGUGGCGCACGGGUGCGUAACGCGUGGGAACCUGCCUUUAGGUUCGUAAUAACUCAGAGAAAUUUGAGCUAAUACCGGAUGAUGUCUUCGGACCAAAGAUUUAUCGCCUUUAGAUGGGCCCGCGUUGGAUUAGCUAGUUGGUGGGGUAAAGGCCUACCAAGGCGACGAUCCAUAGCUGGUCUGAGAGGAUGAUCAGCCACACUGGGACUAAGAAACGGCCCAGACUCCUACGGGAGGCAGCAGUUGGGAAUAUUGGACAAAGGGCGAAAGCAUGAACCAGAAAUGCCGAGUGAGUGAUGAAGGCCUUAGGGUUGUAAAGAUCUUUUACCCGAGAUGAUAAUGACAGUAUCGGGAGAAUAAGCGCCGGCUAACUCCGUG
rnacentral:rRNA from 1 species